GAGAACACCAAAUUCGUAGCCGCCAAGCUUAACUCUCUCUCUCUCUCUAUAUAUAUAUAUAUAACAGACAGGUGCUUUCAUGGCGGCCGGACUGUUGGAAUAUUCCAGGUGCACCUCAUAGCAGCUACCUUCCAAUUUUCUACUGCUCCAUUAUCGCAUAUAUCGCAUGAAGGAAUCCACAAUUAAUUAUCAUGUGCGAGACCUUCAAUCGAGAUUACCAGUUGUGUGAAGAGCUCGGCCGCGGCCGUUUCGGAGUCGUGCACCGCUGCAACUCCGCCGCCGGCGAGUCAUUCGCCUGCAAAUCCAUCUACAAGCACUCCAUAUCCUCCGACGCCAUCGACGGCCGCUGCAUCGACAACGAGGUCAAAAUCCUGCGUCUGCUCGCCGGAGGUCCGAACAUUCUAGCGAUUCGCGACGUUCACGAGGACGACGACUAUCUCCACAUCGUCACCGAUCUCUGCGACGGCGGCGAUUUGUUCGACCGCCUGUCCGCCGGCGAUCGCUUCUCGGAGCGCGACGCCGCCGUCGUUCUCAGGCAGCUGAUGGCGGCGGUCGCGUUCUGCCACCGGCUCGGCGUCGCGCAUAGAGAUAUCAAGCCGGAGAAUAUCAUGUUCGACUCGCGCGGUCGACUGAGGCUCGUCGACUUCGGAGCCGCCGAGCUGUUCGGAGUCUCGGAGAUGAGCGGCGUCGUAGGAACGCCGUACUACGUCGCGCCGGAGAUUCUCAUGGGGAGAGACUAUAGCGAGAAAGUGGAUGUGUGGAGCGCCGGAGUGAUUCUGUAUAUAAUGCUGGCCGGAGCGCCGCCGUUCAUCGGAGACGGACCGGCGGAGACUUUUGAGUCGGUGCUGCGGGCGAAUUUGCGGUUUCCGGCAAAGUUAUUCCGAUCUGUGUCACCGGAGGCCAAGGAUCUGUUAAGGAAGAUGAUUUGUCGAGAUGUUUCUAGAAGAUUCUCAGCAGAGCAAGUCCUGAGACAUCCAUGGAUCAUAAAUGGAGGAGAGACAUCAAUUGAGGAUCUAACCUAAUAACUCAUGAAUGAUUUGCUCCUGCGGGUUGGAGCUGAGUCGCCAUAGCCAGCCAAUCUUCGAAAAUGGAGGAAGAAACAUAGGAAUUAGCACUGUGAGCCUGCAUAGCUGAAUUGAUAAGCCAGAUAUGAACACUUUUGAGAAUUGAUUCUACUUCGCUGCGGGGAUCACUCUUGCGGGGGCUGGAUGUGUUACGUGAUCAUUAAUUAAGAAAGUUUUUGUUCGUUGUCUAAUAGAAUUAAUAUAUUUUUUUUGUAAAAUAAGAAGAAUUAUAAAAAAAAUGUUACUCUAUAUAGUAAUAAAAAACUAUGGUAUAGAUUGACAAUAUAUUAUAUUAUAAAUGAUUUUAUUAUUUCAAUAUUGUUCGAGUCACACCGUGCAAGUUUCACAUACCUCUAUUUGCUCCUGAGAGGGUGUGUUGACCGUUAUUCUGAGCAUCCGACAUGUUUUAGAUUCCGAGUUCGAGUUUCAUCAUUUUUAUUUGCGGCAUAUGUAUGUGCAAGUUUCGCGUACUUUCACUUGCACAUAAAGAGGUGU